UGAAAUCUGCAGGUAUAGAGAGUGGAGCAGUGUUCUUCACUUGCAUUCCACCUGGUCCUGGGCUCAGUGGCUCCACAAAGACAAGCAGAUUUGUACACGAGUAUUACAAACACUCCUCAGUGGCUACGAAAAAACACUCUAAAGAAGGGACCUACUUUACUCAGUUGCUGAGAGCCACAGGGAUGGACUCGGGAGAACUGUGGCUGAAAACUGCUCUCUGACCAUCCUGGGGUGACUUCGUUAUUGAAGCAAUGACUUUGGUGCUGUGAGCUCAGAAGAUGAUGUGAAAGCCUGGCUUUGGCAAGCAAGACAGCUUGACUUGUAUCUUGGUAAAGCAGGACCCUCUUAAAUCUUUCUGCCUUUGCCCAAGGGUUCAGGUUUAUGUGUGUACUGCAUUAAUUAAAAGCUGGUUGGGAAACAAGACGGACAUGGUGCAACAUCGUUGCUUGUAUCACACUUUAUGCCAUGUGAGAGCUGAUCCAUGUUCUCAAAGAGGUGACAACAAUCUAUUGGCAAAACCAAGAUGGGAAGGGACAAAUAAAGGUGCAGAAAUGGUGUUUCCAGUGUAAGGAAGAGGCAGCAUCUCUUGAUCUCUGAAUGUAGCGAGUAUUC